rnacentral:lncRNA from 1 species
AUUGAUCGAGGAGAAGGGCAACUGGAAUCUUGUUUCAAGAUUUUAUGUGGUGGACGGAGACAACCGAGCUGGUGAUCGGAUGGCGCACACGUGUAUACCGGACGACUAAAAGGGUGAUGGAUGAUUACUACAAAUCCAUCGAUAGACGCCUAGCAGUCCCCUAUUUAAAUCUGAACUAGCUUUUAACUAACUCUAACAUUGGAUCUU